UACGAAGGGGGCUAGCGUUGUUCGGAAUUACUGGGCGUAAAGCGAACGUAGGCGGUGUUCCAUGUCAGAGGUGAAAGCCUGGGGCUCAACUCCAGAAUUGCCUUUGAAACGGGGACGCUUGAGUCCGAGAGAGGAUGGCGGAAUUCCUAGUGUAGAGGUGAAAUUCGUAGAUAUUAGGAAGAACACCGGUGGCGAAGGCGGCCAUCUGGCUCGGUACUGACGCUCAGGUUCGAAAGCGUGGGGAGCAAACAAG
rnacentral:rRNA from 1 species